GGUUCCCCUAGGCGACAACAGAGAGAUAGCGCAGGUCAGGCGAAGGAAGCAACUCCCUCGCUGGUGGACUAGAGGUGUUCCCUACGAGUCAUUCGCCGAUCAGAAUGUCUCAUUGCUUUCGUUUCAAAAGAGCUGAAACAUGUGGAAGUGAUGCAAGGUCGGUAACUCAACCGAGGAGAUGAUGAAGAAAGAGAGGAUCUCGUUUUAAAAAAGAGGAAAUGAUGCAAGGUCGGUAACUCAACCGAUGAGAUGAUGAAGAAAGGAUCUUGGUGCAGUGCUGGUUGACAUAACGGUAAUUUGGACCAAGUUCGGUAUUUGGUUUCUGUUCUAUUUUUAAUUUUCACGGUGCUACUGAAAAUAUGGUGCAGCGUUGCUUCCUUUAACCAAAUAUGAAUGAAAUUUUUGACCAAAAAGAGGGAAGAGGGUGAACGUAGUAUGGACCUUAUCAAUGAUGGUGGCUUGGAUGGAGGGAGGACUCUGAUGGAAGUGAUUAUGAAAGGAGAUGAUCAGGAGGAUCUGGGGUGUGGUGGUGGAAAGAGAUGACGAGAAGGAAGUAAGGAAUAGGAUAUUGUACGAAGAUAUACAAGAUGUAAGAAACUUUCCUUUGUUUAUAUACUGCUUAUUUUAGCAUUAUCCGUAGACAAAUCUCCAACCAAGGGGACUCUGUUGAGUUCAGGUGAAAAUAUAUUCUGUUCUUAUAUUUUAUUGUAAAGAUCUGAAAGCAAUAUAGUUUGCUAGUGAACUCAGUUUUAAUAUCACUACUGCAUUUGUGGUAAUGUUGUGGAUAAUAUUUCUUGAAGUUUUAUUCUUUUUCACUCUGUCACCCAAAAUCACAUAACCAGUUCUUGUUCUUCUCCAGUUUUAUUCUUGUUUGUACUUGUACAGUAUUUGCAUAUACACAUUUCAUUAAAUCCAUUGGAAUUGUGAACUAUAUUUGUAUCUGGAAGCAUUGUUUUUUCUUUUCUACACCUGAAUCUUUUAUUCUUGUCUCUGUGAAACUAAGGAGAAUUUGCUACUUCAGGCUUUUUUUUUUCCGAAGUUUCUUUUAUAUCAAUCUUGAGUUUUAUUUAUUUUUUCAUGGCUUCUUAGGAAGAAGCUUCAUAUUGCUUAUGAUCUCUGUUAGCUUAUUUGACCCUUUUUAAUCCAAAUUUCUUGAAGUUCUGUUCCUUAAAAACACUCCCUGCAGAAGUCAUAUGUUAGCUUGUUAGCCUUCUUCAUUCACUAUUCUUGUGCAUAAUUAUGUCUUCAAACCAUUAUUUGUCACAUAGUUUGUUCUCAGAAAGUGUUUGUUCUCGGAAAGUGGUUGUGUGGUUUUUGUUCAGCAUUAUUGCAUUUUUGUGCCUUUAGUCAUUUUUGCUACAAUUUUCCAUCCAUAAUCUGAUAAAACUAUUUCUGAGUUUUUUUUUUUGUUUGAAUUCUAAUGUUUUAUUGGACAGUCAUACUGGUAUGGGUAGAAAUCAUGCCUACUCUGCUCCACAUUGGCUUGGAGCCAAAGUCUUGGUACAUUUUCAAUUAUCUGGAAUUAAGACAGGAAUUGCUGUACUAAAACUCUGAUAGCUUACCAAAAGAAGAGGUGGUGUCUGAGUGUCCUGUCAUUAUUUACACUUACUGCACUCACAGCCUGCUCAAGCAAGUGCUUUAUGAACAGAGAACUAGCAAUUGCAGGUUAUAUGAGUUCCCCUCAUUUUAGGGAACUUAUACUUUAUUAAUAGUGAUAGAAUGAGCAACAAGUGCAUAUCACAUUGAUUGUUCUUCAUACAUGUUGCCUAUUCUGCUUUGAUUUUGUGGUUUUCUUGUGUGCUCAUGUGCAUCUUACAUUGGAUUAUCUGAUAACUCUAGUAAUUUUAGAAGCGAUAUUUUUUGUCAAUUCCUGCAUUUGUUAUAUAUUAUAAUUUUUUUAAGGCUGUUGAAGGGUUUUUGGAUGCUAAACUUGGUUUACGUUAUCAAAUUUAUCUUUUAAAUUCUUUCAUUUUGUCUUAAAUUUUGUAAGGCGGCAAUGCACCAAAUUAAUGUCUCCAGUUGAAUGUAAAUUUUGAAAAGUGAAUUCAAUGCAAGGAGGAAGCAUGUUGGUGUAUUGGUCUUACUACGUUUGAGCAGGAAGUGACGUGUCCUCAUCCUUGUUUAUAUUUUUUUUUAUUUUGACUCUUUUGUAGGGCUUACUCCAAAAUUGUGCAUUUAUAGAGAGUUGAGCCUUUUUUUACUUUGCUUUUUCUUUUCUAGUAGCACUUGAUUAACCGAGGCUUUUGAUUUAUGAUUAUUGUUAGUCACGAUUAGUGUUUGUGUCCAAUUUUUUUGCAUUGCUACAAACUUUCAAGGCAAAAAUAUCAGUUUGGGUUCUCUGGAGCAGAUGAGCAUCCAGAAUGCAGUGCAGAAUUUUCAAGGCACAACAAAAGACUCUGCCUGCCACUACCACCAAAAGAGAAGUUCCUACCUCUGUUACUCUCAUGAUUAUGGUACUUGCAAUGAACUCACAUUAUCAUUUUAUAUUAUCAUCGUGCUGCAAUUUAUUUGAAUCAAUGCUGUCUGUGAUUUAACUAUAUACUAGCAUUCUGAUAAUGCACUAAGGAGUUGCGGAUACAUAUGCACUCUUUCUGUCAUAUAUCCUUCAUGUGAUUUAGGGCAGCACGUCAAGUGACCUCUAACUCAUAUGAUGCUAGAGUGGAUGGCAGAUCUGAGCACCCAAGGGUGCCCUCCUGUCAAGGACUAUUUGAAUCAUAAAAUGGACUUAUUUGUAUUGGGACUUAUUAGCCUUCUGGUGAUAAUAAAUUACCUUUAUCAUUUUAAUGAAGAAUCGCACUCUAUGUUUGUUAAAA